GGGAGCUAUUCAGGGCCUGGACUCCCUGCCAGGCUGGCCCUGCACGGAGGUAGGAAAGGAAUGCGCUGGUGGCCUUGGGGGUAUUUAAGUUUAGGAGCAAAUCAGGGGAAGCAGCCAGUCCCUAUGGAGGGCGUCCCAAGGGACGCCCCCUUCCCUCUGCUCCCAGCUCUGAGGGCACCUUUGACAAUGUUCCCAGUGGCCUUGGGGGCAGUCACAGCCGAGUCCUGCCCACAAGCAGAGGGCGGGAGGAAGGUUUUCGGAGGGGAAGGAGCUUCACCACUCCACUGGUCUCAGAUGAUCAGCACCACCCAGGUGCAAGAACUAGUCCAGUCCCAUUUUUCACAGAAAAAGAAAACAGGUUCAGAAAGACCUGGAAAGGCAAGUGGGAAAUGCAGAGGAAGGAGGAGCAGCUUCCAGAGGCUCCCACAGAGGUUCACGUCCAGAGCCCGAGGGCAGCGGACACGCCCCCUCCCUAAAGGGGCCGGGGAUGGGAAGGAGUUAGGAAGCAACAGAGAGCAGGCCCAGGGCCAGCGAGGCUUUUCUUACAACCCCUAGCAGAGGGCAGGAGAAGGGGACUUGAGCGUCCUCUGGCUGGCCUGGCCGAGGGGGCAAUUGGUAAUCAUUUUCAUGAUCACGAGCUGCCAGUUUUAGGGGGGCUGUUUGAGGUGGGCUGUGGGGGUGCUAGCAAAGGCUAAUCUGGCAAGGAGGCAUAUAAAUGAAGAUCUGAAUUAGAGAGAUAGCAUCCAUAAUGGCCCUGGGGCAGGGAGCACCAGGCAGGAGGAUCAGCAGGGGCAGGGAGCAGAGGCCCUGAGGUCUUACAUGAAGUCACCCAUUUAAAAAUAGUACUGACCACUUUAAAAAAAAAAAAAAAAAACUAUGCAAAGCAAAUGCCCCAGGGUCAGAUUUGGCCUGGAGGUGAUCAGAUCUGCACUUGGCCUUGAAUCUUGAACAGACAGAGUGGAACUGAAAGGAGCCAAAGGGCAAAGACACUGGAGAGCUGCAGAGCUGGACCGGUGCUGGGACCAGACCCCCCCCACACACCGUGGCCAACAGGGUUUGAACCAGGGAUCCCCGGAGGGGCACCUGCUGCUGCCACGGAGCCUGACUGGGUGUGCGCCAGCUGAGAUGUCUGCCCAGGUCACAGGUGUGGGGACAAGAGUCACACCCAUUCUGGGGUCAUGGGGCUGCUGUCAUCUAGAUCCAUUUUGAAGACGAGAACCUGGUGUCCAGCGAGCUACACUGAAUCACCCAGGUCACAAACAAGGACCAGAGUCGUCCUGGGGCUCUCCCCAGGACGUCCAGAUGCUCCCGAAUCUGCAGGCUUUGGGAGCCCAUCUCCACCAGACUCCUCCUGCACUGACCCAUCUCUAACCAAUAACGCAGAAUAAGAAAAUCGGAUUUUGCAGUGACUCACUUUAUCCAUGGCUGAGAGGCGAACGUGGGGAUUUGGCCUGACGAAGCCCUCUGACGAUGUGCCUGUGGCACAUGCUGUUCAGUGAGAGCCCUGAGCUGCCCUGAGCUGGCCGAGGGCCCUGCUGCCAGCUGAGCCCAGUGCCUGCCUCCCAGCCACCCUCCCUCCCGCUAGGUGUGAGUCAAGCCUGGAGACCUCAGUGUGCCGGCUGCAGAGCCUCCACUUUCCUUGGCUCCUGAGCAAGAUGUACUUUUCCAAAGGACACUGAUUCAGCUGAGCCCGGAGUUUGCAAUGCCCUGCAGCAGUGAGGCCCGCCUCCCCUGAGUCCACACUGUCCUGGAGUGGGGACCACAGAGGGAAGCUACUACCUCCCUCGCCUUUUUCCUCCUCCUUCCCAAAUGGCAGGAGGACCCACCUUCUGAGGACCCACCCAAGCCAGCCAGACCCCCAGUGGCCUCCCUGGAGCCCCCGUGGCCGUGCACACCUGCAGACAGGAACGGAAAGGAAGGGCCCGCGGUGGAUGGCCAGGGACCCUCCAGUGUGGAGCCAGGACAGCCUUCCCGUCAACCUGGGGUCCUGGCAGCUCAGCACCAAGUGCCCGGUGGACCACGUUUCCGCUGGUACAAAGCACUGUGCUUGGGAGCAGCUUCGGGUUCACAGGAACACGGAGCAGACGCGGAGUCCRUCCUCCCUGACCCACACGUGCACAGCUCCCGCUGUCCACACACCCUCAGAAGGCACAUCUGUCAUCCACAGGCGCCAGCCAGGCCGCCCAUCACACCCAGUGCUUGGUUCUACAAGGCUGAGUCCCGGUGCCGAGCGUCCCUGGGCUUGGAUGAACGUGCGAUGGCAUCUGUCCACCAGGACAGUGCCCAAGAGCGGCCUCUCUCCUAAAACCCACGCCCCUGAAGCCCCAACCCCCCUGUACUGCUGGUCUUUUCCUGUCCCCAUGUGGCCUUUUCUACAGCGGGGACACACAGCUCCACGGCUGCUGGGAGCAUCUUGGUCAGUGUUGUGCACACCAGGUGCCCCUUGCUUCACGGGUUCGGGGCUCCUCCUAGUUGGCACCGGUGACCUCCGUGUCUACAGGUAGCUGCGCAGACUUGUGACUUCUGUAAAGUGGGGGUGAAAAUCCUGCCCACUAUGGGAGUGCGGCCGAAAGCAGGGCCCUACCUCGGGAGUGGCCAACUCGCUGCACAAAGCAAGCGGUGGUCGGCCAUGACUGACCACACCGGUACCGUGGCCAUCACCACUGGUGGGCUCGCCACGCAGUUCUCCACCAGGGCAGCACAGGGAGGGGACAACCUCUGCUGACCCAGCGGCCAGCCCUCUCCAGGCUCAACCUGUUCACAUGCAAAAUGGGGGCAGGGAGGCUACAUCUCUCCUCUGGGGGGUCGGAGACAGAGCAGAUGACUGACUGGCAUGCAGGAGCCAUGGACAUCCGAUGGGCACUCUCAGAAGGCCAGGUCCUGGCUGCAAGGUCUGGAGGGGUCCCUGGCCUUUUCUGGGGCCCAGUGGACAGCCACUUGGGUGACAUCACAGACGUGCUAUGGAAGGAAGAAGUCCCACACACGGGCCGAGGGACACGCAGAACUAACGCCUGCAGGAGUCAGGAGCCCGCUCACCUUGUGGCCUCCCGGGGUGCUGAAGACGGGCUGUACCCCCAUCCACGCGCGGCCACCGCGCUGCGCGUUUCAGGAGCGCUCUGUCAUGAGCCACCGUUCAAUUUAGAAAUUAAAAUUAAAAAACUAAAGAGAAUCAAGUCAUCAGCCAGGUGUGGGACUCCUCGGCACCACCUGAGGAUCAUGUGACAGAGACGGUUUCAGGGCUUCUUUCCUUGGAUUCCUACUGCCACCUUCCCUGGGUGCAACCCCAAGCAAGUGGCAGGACCCAGGCAAGCAUUCAAGAACUCCUGAAACCUGCCCUCCCUGCUGUGUGAGCUGGGCUAAGUGAUGUCCCUCUCUGAGCCUGGUGGCCUAGUGUACAAAGUGUGCUCAGGAUGAAUCGGGAGUGUCCAGCACUGUGCUUAGCAGAUAGCAGCUGCUUAAAAAAGGUGACCUGUUCAUAGGAUUCUCACUGAAACGCCCCCAGAGUGUCUUGCCAAUUGCAGGUUUGGGUGGGUUGAGAAAUCUGUCCAGUGGGCUGCAACCGGUAUAAAAAAAAAAAAAAAGACUAGCGCAGGAAGGAGAACUCAGUCUGCGCUGCUGCCUACAAGAGGCACACAACCCCAUUCUACUGCGCCACCGUGCCACAGCCUAGGGGUACCUAGGAAUAAUAACACACCCUGUGAGAAGAGCUCCAGAAAGGUCACGGGUGGCACUUCCCUGAGGACGGACAGGCUGUGGAGUUGAGGGCAGAGCAGAGGGGCUGCCUGCAGGGGGCGCCAGACCCGGCCCUGCGGCUCCAGAGGGGCUCCCAGAGGAAAGAGGCUGGACAGACACCCAGGAUGACGGUGGGCUGGCGCUAGUGGUGAAAGGAGGAGCAGACUUCCGCACUGCCCAGCCCCGGAGCCGGGURUUAAGAGUUGGAGAAACCUGGCUUCCAAUCCUGAAGCCACCACCUCUUACCACUGUCGGCUGGGCAAGGCCACCAGGGGCAGCAGGUGGGCUCUUCCCUGCUCACGGGCACCUGAUGGGCACCUGAUCGAGGCCCAGGCCCACUCCAGGAGGCAUAUGGCAUGCAGGGGCCUCAGGAGCCCACAGAAGGCAGGCUGUUACAGUGAUCCCCAGAGCUGGCCGAGGGUGACCUGCACCAGCCUCUGACCUUGACCUUCAACGUGCAGUGCGAGCUCAGAAAAGCUGGUCUCAUGAAAGUCUGUACCAACAGCACAGAAGGCUCCCUGCACCCUCCACCUGGCUUUCCGUCACAUAACGUGACCAGAGAAACCUCCUCGGAACUCAGAGGUACGCCUUGGCAGGACUCUAUCAGCUGAACACACAUUUGCGUGGGUUUUCCCCUCAAGUUUUCUGGUCUGGAACCUCACACAGCAUUUAGUUGUGUCUGCUCCAAUCUGUGAUGGAGGUGAGAGCAGCUGUGCUUCAUGGCAGGUGGGCAGACUGCUUCCUCCMAGAGGUUUUCUGAGGGGCUGAGGAUAGAGCACAGGGACCUGUCCCAUCACUGAGCCACACCCCAGACMUUUUCAGUUUUAUUUUGAGAAAGGAUCCUGCUAAAACGCCCAGGCUAUCCUUGAACUUGGGAUCCUCCUGCCUCGGCUUCCUGAGUUGCCAGAGUACAACCACCCCCUUUAUGCCCAGUGCUAGAACCACACCGGGCACAUAGUAGGUGCUCAGAGCAUUUGUCAAACAAACCAAGGGGCCAAGGCGCUGAGCAGGCACCAGCUGCCCUCUUCCCCACAGGGAGCACAUUGUGUCCUGCCUGGGCACAGGCUGACCUGUGCCCACAACCKCACAGCUUAGCUGGAAGGAAACAGAAGGGGGGAGACCGACUCCAGCCUGGAAUGCGCCCUUGUCAGCCAGCUGGGACAGCGACAGACAGAGGUGGUGACGGUGGGAGGUGCUGUCCUCCUGGAGUGUGUCCAGCCUGGAGCAGAUCCCCUGAAUGACCAACUGGCUGCCUGCGAUCAGGGCCUCCGAUCCCUCCCGGGGACCUGCACAGCCCAGAGCAGUGUCUCAUCUGGACAGGGAAGUCAYGCAGGAAGAAUGCGCACGUCAGUGGACUGGUAUUUACAGGGAACAGCCCUGCCCACGGCCCAGGAUGGGGUGCAUGGGGUGUGGGAAGCCUCCCACAAAGGCCACUCACUGCCCACCCAAAAUCAAGUACCCCAGCCGCUACGAAGGGCGUCUCAGUGGUGGCCUAGCAGAGCUAACAGGAGCCUCCCGUGCCUUGAGUGGCUGCYUGGGUCCAGGCCUUGUGGCUGCAAAGGCUGCGGCCCUGUGUCCAGCAGCCCCCGUGUUCCCGUGCCCUCCUGCACGCCCUGUGGCUCAGGAACACCUGGCCACAGGCACCUCAGGACCCUGGGCAAGCUCCUCGGCCUGCUUUUCCUCUGGACAGCGGGGGAGCCACUGCCCACGUCACAGGGGGCCUAGAGGCUGGCCAAGAUGAUGAGCUUGGGCUGGCACUCAGCAGGGUCACUGAACAGACUUCACCUGUGUCCUCCGAAGCAAGAUGGGUCAGAAUGGUCACAGUCACAUGACAGCAAGACACUCGGCAAAGCCCCCCCAUUUCCGCCCCAAGCCCCGGGACACACAGUCCUGGCACCCGCUGUCUUCUGYACCAUCACUAGGUGCCAGGCAAGAGCCGGGCUUCAAGGACCUGGUGGGUGGUGCAGACCACCUGCCUCGCCCCCAGGCUGCAGGCGCUGCUCUGUCCACACCUCCUUCUGUCCAGGAGAGAGGGUCUCAGUUGCUUAGCRCCUCACAGUUUCUGAGGCUGGCUUUGAAGUUCAAUCCUGCUGCAAAGAGGGAGACCCCCCCACCUGCUGAGGCACCCCUCGCUCUUCCCCACUUCCCUCGCUCUCCUGAGCUGCUGGUCCCCGUGACUUUCUGAGAGUCCUCUCAACAACUGAGGACGGUAAGUGGUUGAGGACGGUAAGCGUAGCUGGGUGUUGACUUCCUGGCUGAAACUCGGGGCCCCUGGGGCGGGGGCUGUGUCCCUGUUUCACCACCGGACAGUGUGCAGUGCAGUGGCCAGCGGGAACAUCUGUGAGUGACUGAGGAUUGGGCGACCAGCCAGACAGCCCCAGGGGCCAAAAGUGAAAGGGACCCAGACUCCAUGUCCCCACUCUGGGGGCUACAAGGGAAGCUGGAAGACAAGAGCACAGGGGGACAGAGUCACGUGCCUCRGGUCCCAGGAGCAGUGGGGCCCUGGAGGACAGGUGUGUGGCUUGACAGCUGCAGUGGAGCCUUACUGGCAGCCCACGCCCCCGAUCUUGUUGCCCCAAAAACAAUGCUGGGGAUCCAGGGCACCAUCAACCCGACCUUUGAUGUUUGUUCCUAAGGCCUGUGAGAGGCCCUGGGGCCCCAACACCUCUUCCCACAAGCUUUGCAAGGUCCUAGCUGUGACUUUCCUAUUGUGGGGUUUUCAGAGAUCCGACCCCUCACUCCCCCCGCCCCCAGUGUGCCUGGAACUUGCUUCAGGCACAUCCUGUGCAGGAUUUAACUGUACACCACGGGACCCUGGGAGGUCACUCUGCUCCAGUGUAUAAAGGGGACAUGGAGGCAGGGGCGACAGAGGCAAGGUGGAGUCCCCCGAGAUGGGCCCCUAGUCCGGUCCUGCUCCACAAGGGUCUGCAUAAUGAGCAGGCCUCCCGAGUGGGGAGCUACGCCCGCCAUGUGUGAGGAGCGGACCAAUCCCCCCGUGGGCUCCUGCUUCCCCUUCACAGCGCCCUAGGGGUUCCCUCACUUGAUCCCCCUGGUUUUCUGAAGCACCACAUCUGCUCAAGAACCUGCCUGCCUCUCCGUGGCCGAGUGCCGCACAGGGAGACCCCUCACCUGCUCACAGCACCCCUCRUCUUCCCCCCUCCCACUCUCACUGACCCCCACAACUCACCCCUAGAGCGCCCCUCCCCCAGGUGUCCUUCCGCCUCACCCACACCGGUUCAGUCCUGCUUUGGCCUCUGGACUGCCCUGACCCCUCGCCCUGGCUCUGAACCAAUCAAUCACUCAAGGURAAAGCAUGGGACAGGGUCGCGGGGGAAUCUUCUUCACCCCUGUCCAGAUGCCCCUGCCGUCCCCAGAGCUCUCAGGGCCCCUCUGCUCAGAAAACUCUCCCUCAGACGCCUGUCCUUGUUCCCCUUGCCCUGUCAGCCCCACAGAGGGGACGCCAGAUCCAUCACGGCCACUCCAUCCCCGGUGCAGGGCCCAGCAGUAAAUGUUACGUGUCUCAGUGAGCAAACACGCUCAUGGGUGCCCACCAGCAAGGAGGCCACUCAGCCGCAGCGCUGGGUGCAGGGUCGGUGGCCCUGCUGAGCUGCCAGGAGAGUCACGGGCUACAGAGACACAAAGGGCACAGGGCUCUCCAGGCGCAGAGCGGCUGGAGGCGGGUGGGCACGCUCCCCUCCCCCACCACAGCCCUCGUGGAAACUGGUGUCGCCAUCCCCACCCCAUGGUGUGUCCUAGAGUUCUGGGAAAUGCCACCAGGCGGCGAUGCAAAGACCCACAGGGUGCCAACACACCUGUCCUGCCCGACAGCCCAGGCAGCUCACUGAAGGGGCCCAUCGUGGGAGCCCAGAGCCCUGGUGGCUGAGUGCCCACCGAGUCCCCAGGCGUCAGUAUUUCGUCCCCACACUGGGGCAGAGUGACCCCCRCAGCCUGCGAAGCCCCUGCUUCAGAGAUGAGAAGACGGGCUGCACCCGCGGGGUCAGUGCCUCUUAAACUGCGUGGACCAGCGGCCGUGAGUCAGUGUCCACUGAAUGCUGCCCCAAAGUCCCAGCUCCCGCGUGGCCUCUCCAGCUGUCCUUGGACGACCCUGUCGAGUCUCAACAUGGAAAUACCCAGCCACCCCAGCCCUGUGCUGAGAACUGACCGGGGCUGGGUGCCUGUGUCACCUGGGUGACCCCCUACUGACCCCAGGGAAGGUCCCCAUUCCUGCUAAGGUGCCAUGGCAUUGGGAGCCUGCAGGAGCAGAGCUCAUCCUACCCAGGGAGGGAGCUCCAGUCACUUGCUAUGUGGUGCCUUCAGGGUGCCUGGCGCUGUCCUAGGCCCUGGGGAUCCCACAACGAACACAGCAGAGCCAGUCUCUGCUCUGGUGGGGGCCUCUGGAGACCCAGCUCUUGGUGGCUGGUCCCUACUAUUUCCCAAAGACUAGCUCCUCCCAAAGGGAGACCUCCCUGCCCAGGUUCCCAGUUCCACUGCCAGCAAGAAGCCCAGAAGAGGACCUGAGGAGCAGUGGCCUGGUUUAGAGGCCAAGAGGCCUCCUGGACACCAGCCAGCAAAACCAAGUCCUGGGCACUGGUCAAUGGCCAGAGGCCACCAGGCGGACUACGCCUGCUCCGGAAGACUGGACACCACCUCCAGACCCUUCCCAUGGGUUGGUGGCCUGGCUGGGCUUUAACCACUGGGCUCAAAGUGGAGGCACCAAGACAUGACCUACCCUCCUGUGGAGCGGUGGCAACAUGCCCAGCGCCUGGAGCCGUCCUGUCCGGCUCCGAUCCCACCAGGCCCAGUAGGGUCUGCAGACACAGGAGCAGCUCCUGCUCCUCCUCGGCUGGGUGGCCCGGCACCCACAGGUCUAUGGCUUGCUCUCAGCGCUAAAGGGGAAAAAGACCUUGGGCAAGUCUGCCUGGGGAGGGGGCAGGCCAGGUGGUCACUUGCCCAAGGUCACAGAUCGGAUAAGUGGGGCACUCUCAGGUAGGGAGUCGGCCUCGGGAGCCUGGGCUCCUACUGACCUCUUCUCUAUUAGGUCUGAUCCUUGCAGUAUCACUGCCAGACAGUCUUCCCACUCCAGAGAGAUACAGACUACAGAGGCCUCCAUCCUCUUUCCCAGGGACUCCUGCCCAGUUGCCCCAGGUCAGCACCAAGCAGCAGCCACGGAACGAGGCGAGUCCCAGCGGCCAAUUUGAUGUGCUCCAGUGGGUGAGGCGAGUGAGGGCCACCUGGGGUGACGUGCCUACAUGGCCCAGGGACCUGGCCAGACAGAGCAGGGGACCUUCUCAUGGCCCUUGACUCAGCUCACUUAGCUUGACACACACCCCAGCUCUGCGGCAGAAGCCGAGCUGCAAGUCCCCCUGACACCCAGGCAGGUGCUCCAGCCUUCUGAGCCUGGUUCCCCUGACCCCACCCAGGGCGGCCUCACCCACCGCGGGCCCCUCCAUAUAUCCCGAUGUUAACCUGCCAACGCUAGGACAGCCCACUCCACCUUGGCGCUCGCCCCUGUGGAGUGGGCAGAAGCCCCCAGGUGGCCCACCUGUGAGAACGGAAUGCACUGACGUGGGGACGGCAGCUAGCGCUCCUCUGGAGACCCAGAGAUGCACAGUGCUUUCUCGUCUACCGUCCCUGCCCGCCAAGCGCCCAAUGCCUGCCGCUCACCCCCAUUCCCCCUUCCAGAAGCACAGGUGAAGAUGCCCACAGGUCAGGUCUCGUGCCACACACCAGGAGCAGGAGGAAAGAAAAUCCCACAGCCAACGUGACCAGGGCGAAGCCAAAGCUUCUCUGCUAAGAAAAGAAACAGGAGGUGCCCACUCCAGGAAGGGGCAGCAAGAUUCCCGACGCAGCAAGGCCCGGAUGUCACACGGUCUAGAAGCCACACACGACCCGCGUGUCCACCACAGACCACGGCCUCCCUGAGACCAAGAAGCAGCCCCGCGCGUGAGAGCCACACCAGGACAGCUCAGGGAUAAACUGAACAGUUUGUCCAGGGAGGCAGACGCCUGAGAGCUACGGGACAUGACAGAGACUGAAAAGGACACAAAGAGACUGCUGGCCUGCACCCGACGGAAGCAGCCGACGGUCAGCGAGCAGACUCGGUGCGACCCCGCCCAGGAGUCCCAUGCCACUGCCCCUAAGGCCUGUACGGAGAGCCAAAGCAGUAGAGAAGAGGGACGUCGAAGACACCAGCUUCCUGACUUAGGGUCACAUUACAGAGCCACAGUCAGGAAAGAGCAUGGCCCUGGCAGGGAAAACCAGCAGGCAGACCGUGCAGCAGGACCAAGCCUCCAGAUACAGGGCCGCUAACCCGACCAGGCACCAAGAGGACACAGGGGAGCAGGCUCCUCAACCAAUCAGGCUGGGAAAGCUGAGCAUCUUCGUUCAAAAGAGUGGAACUGGCCCCUUAUCUUAUACCAUAUGCAAAAAUCAACUUGAAUAAAUAAGAACACGUAAAACCCCAAAGCACAAAACUGCUAGAGGAAAUCGGGGAAGGCCUGGACACGGGCUUUGGCAAUGAUUCCUUGGAUGUCACCAAGCAGAUGGCAUCAAAGGAACGGAAAGGCUGUGGCUGGGAGACCCCAGGGCUCACUGGGGAGGGUCAGAUUUACCACACGGGAGCAAGAAAAUGUCAUCCCGUCAAAACUGGGCAGGGCUUGAACAGGCACUUUAAUGGCCAGCAGGUCUGUGGAAAGGUGCCAUCAGACACCAGGGAAAUGCAGGCGGCCACCACCUCACGCCUGCUGUCCAGACGACAGAGAGCAAGUGCUGGUGAGGAAGUGGAGAGGGGACCCUGCACACCAUGGGGCUCAGGCGGGCCCACGGUGGGGAAAGCAGCAGGGGGUGCCCAGCACCCUGCGGGCAUCUCUCUGGGCACACACUCAGAGGACACAAAGCCACACCUGGCAAAGGUGCCAAGUUAUGCAAACUCCGUGAGUGUCCACCAAGGGCCAAGUGGACACGGAAGCAAGUGCAGACACAAAGAGACAGUGCCACAAGCCAUGGGCCCAGAGGACACGUGCUGGGGGGAAGGCUAGACACCCAAAGGACAACUUUGCACUGUGACCUCUCCCUGGCACUCUGUUUUCUACUCAAAAGGUCAAAGACACAGGGAGUAAAAAUGGUCCCCAGGAUCAGGUGCAGGAGGAAACAGGAAAGAGGCAGAAGGAGGUCAAAGGACACAGAUAUCCAAGUGGACCCACUGGAGACGAGGGACCACGGGUGGUGGCGUGUGCGUGUUCAGGGCCCAUGCCACGUGUCCCUCACAGGGGCUCUUGCCCCCGAGGAGCGAGGUAUGAGCUGAUUGGGACCUGCAGGGGGCUGGUCCCCAAGGUUCAUGUGAGGGAAGCUGGGUCCCAGCUUUGGCAACUCGAAGUGCUGGAACCCUUAACAGGUGUGGCCAGGAAGGAGGUCACUACCAGUGUCACUCUCGAGAGAGGUUAAGGUAGUUCCCGGGGGAGGGUUGUUAUAAAAGCCCCUCCCAUCCACCGAUCUCUCCAUGUUGUUUGUUUUCCCUGUUUGAUCUCUGCCUCUUGCACAAGAUGCCAUUGGCCACAAAGUGAGGCAGCCAGGGGCACUCACACAGAGCCAGCGCAAUGCCACCUGAACUCUCAGCCUGGAAAUUGUGAGCUAAAUAAACCUCUUUUAUUUAUAAG